rnacentral:rRNA from 1 species
AAAACCUGGCGCGAGCUGGGGCUUUAGGAGGAGCCUAUGUCCGAUUAGCUAGUUGGUGGGGUAAGAGCUUACCAAGGCGAUGAUCGGUAGCUGGUCUGAGAGGACGGCCAGCCACACUGGGACUGAGACACGGCCCAGACUCCUACGGGAGGCAGCAGUGAGGAAUAUUGCGCAAUGGGGGAAACCCUGACGCAGCGACGCCGCGUGGGUGAAGAAGGCCUUCGGGUUGUAAAGCCCUUUUGUUGGGAAAGAAAUCCAGCUGGCUAAUACCCGGUUGGGAUGACGGUACCCAAAGAAUAAGCACCGGCUAACUUCGUGCCAGCAGCCGCGGUAAUACGAAGGGUGCAAGCGUUACUCGGAAUUACUGGGCGUAAAGCGUGCGUAGGCGGUUCGUUAAGUCAGAUGUGAAAGCCCUGGGCUCAACCUGGGAACGGCAUUUGAAACUGGCGGACUAGAGUUUAGUAGAGGGGAGUGGAAUUUCAGGUGUAGCGGUGAAAUGCGUAGAUAUCUGAAGGAACACCAGUGGCGAAGGCGACUCCCUGGACUAGAACUGACGCUGAGGUACGAAAGCGUGGGUAGCAAACAGGAUUAGAUACCCUGGUAGUCCACGCCGUAAACGAUGUCAACUAGCCGUUGGUCCUAUUUACAGGAUUAGUGGCGCAGCUAACGCAUUAAGUUGACCGCCUGGGGAGUACGGCCGCAAGGUUAAAACUCAAAUGAAUUGACGGGGGCCCGCACAAGCGGUGGAGCAUGUGGUUUAAUUCGAUGCAACGCGAAGAACCUUACCUACCCUUGACAUCCAGAGAAUCUGUUAGAGAUAGUAGAGUGCCUUCGGGAACUCUGAGACAGGUGCUGCAUGGCUGUCGUCCGCUCGUGUUGUGAAAUGUUGGGUUAAGUACCGUAACGAGCGCAACCCUUAUCCUUAGUUGCCAGCGAGUCAAGUCGGGAACUCUAGG